ensembl:snRNA U6 U6 spliceosomal RNA
GUGCACGCUUCGGUAGCACAUAUACUAAAAUUGGAAAGAUACAGAGAAGAUUAGCAUGGCCCCUGCACAAAGAUGACAUGCAAAUUUGUGUUGCGUUCCAUAUUUGC